rnacentral:rRNA from 1 species
UACGUAGGGGGCUAGCGUUGUCCGGAUUUAUUGGGCGUAAAGAGCGUGUAGGCGGCCAGGUAGGUCUGGUGUGAAAACUCGAGGCUCAACCUCGAGACGUCGGCGGAAACCAUCUGGCUAGAGUCCGGAAGAGGAGAGUGGAAUUCCUGGUGUAGCGGUGAAAUGCGCAGAUAUCAGGAAGAACACCCGUGGCGAAGGCGGCUCUCUGGGACGGUACUGACGCUGAGACGCGAAAGCGUGGGGAGCGAACAGG